CGACAGGCUUAACACAUGCAAGUCGAGGGGCAGCGGGGGUAGCAAUACCCGCCGGCGACCGGCGCACGGGUGAGUAACGCGUAUGCAACUUACCUAUCAGAGGGGGAUAACCCGGCGAAAGUCGGACUAAUACCGCAUGAAGCAGGGAUCCCGCAUGGGAAUAUUUGCUAAAGAUUCAUCGCUGAUAGAUAGGCAUGCGUUCCAUUAGGCAGUUGGCGGGGUAACGGCCCACCAAACCGACGAUGGAUAGGGGUUCUGAGAGGAAGGUCCCCCACAUUGGUACUGAGACACGGACCAAACUCCUACGGGAGGCAGCAGUGAGGAAUAUUGGUCAAUGGCCGAGAGGCUGAACCAGCCAAGCCGCGUGAGGGAUGAAGGUUCUAUGGAUCGUAAACCUCUUUUAUAAGGGAAUAAAGUGCGGGACGUGUCCCGUUUUGUAUGUACCUUAUGAAUAAGGAUCGGCUAACUCCGUGCCAGCAGCCGCGGUAAUACGGAGGAUCCGAGCGUUAUCCGGAUUUAUUGGGUUUAAAGGGUGCGUAGGCGGCCUUUUAAGUCAGCGGUGAAAGUCUGUGGCUCAACCAUAGAAUUGCCGUUGAAACUGGGGGGCUUGAGUAUGUUUGAGGCAGGCGGAAUGCGUGGUGUAGCGGUGAAAUGCAUAGAUAUCACGCAGAACCCCGAUUGCGAAGGCAGCCUGCCAAGCCAUUACUGACGCUGAUGCACGAAAGCGUGGGGAUCAAACAGGAUUAGAUACCCUGGUAGUCCACGCAGUAAACGAUGAUCACUAGCUGUUUGCGAUACACUGUAAGCGGCACAGCGAAAGCGUUAAGUGAUCCACCUGGGGAGUACGCCGGCAACGGUGAAACUCAAAGGAAUUGACGGGGGCCCGCACAAGCGGAGGAACAUGUGGUUUAAUUCGAUGAUACGCGAGGAACCUUACCCGGGUUUGAACGCAUUCGGACCGAGGUGGAAACACCUUUUCUAGCAAUAGCCGUUUGCGAGGUGCUGCAUGGUUGUCGUCAGCUCGUGCCGUGAGGUGUCGGCUUAAGUGCCAUAACGAGCGCAACCCUUGCCACUAGUUACUAACAGGUAAAGCUGAGGACUCUGGUGGGACUGCCAGCGUAAGCUGCGAGGAAGGCGGGGAUGACGUCAAAUCAGCACGGCCCUUACAUCCGGGGCGACACACGUGUUACAAUGGCGUGGACAAAGGGAAGCCACCUGGCGACAGGGAGCGAAUCCCCAAACCACGUCUCAGUUCGGAUCGGAGUCUGCAACCCGACUCCGUGAAGCUGGAUUCGCUAGUAAUCGCGCAUCAGCCAUGGCGCGGUGAAUACGUUCCCGGGCCUUGUACACACCGCCCGUCAAGCCAUGGGAGCCGGGGGUACCUGAAGUCCGUAACCGCGAGGAUCGGCCUAGGGUAAAACUGGUGACUGGGG
rnacentral:rRNA from 1 species